rnacentral:rRNA from 1 species
GUAAGGAAUCUUUCGCAAUGGGGGAAACCCUGACGAAGCAACACCGCGUGGAGGAUGAAGGCGUUUUCGUUGUAAACUCCUUUUCUGAGGGAAUAACUUUGAAGGUACCUCAGGAAUAAGCAGCGGCUAACUACGUGCCAGCAGCCGCGGUAAGACGUAGGCUGCAAGCGUUAUCCGGAAUUAUUGGGCGUAAAGAGUUUGUAGGUGGUUUGUUAAGUUAGAUGUCAAAUCUUUGAGCUCAACUCAAAAAAGGUGUCUAAAACUGGCAGACUGGAGACAGGUAGAGGCAAGUGGAAUUCUGCAUGUAGGGGUAAUAUCCGUAGAUAUGCAGAGGAACGCCAAAAGCGAAGGCAGCUUGCUGGACCUGUUCUGACACUCAAAAACGAAAGCGUGGGGAGCAAACGGGAUUAGAUACCCUAGUAGUCC